rnacentral:tRNA from 1 species
GAGCCUGUAGCCUAGUCUGGUAACCUUUCCGGCCUUGGGCCGCAAAGCUUUACCAAAAUUCGGGCGGCGUGCACUCACAAUUUUCGCUUAGCCCCCAUUGGUAAAUGGCUUAGGUUAGACAAAUAGGGCAACAGCCUCCUAAGCUGUGGGUCGGGGGUUCAAAUCCUCCCAGGCUCG